rnacentral:lncRNA from 1 species
UCGACCAAAUGCCAUAGUGAAAACUGGGAAUACACAAGGCGAAUCAUCAGCUGCUGGGGAGGAAAGAGAUGCAGAAAAAGCCCACAAAGAGAACAAAUCCUAUGCAAGUCUCCUAACUGGAAACCAAAUGCCAUCAAAAGGAAGCCAGCUACAAUUCUUUGAUUAAGAUGAGGGGCCAGUUAUAAUAGAGGAGGAGGACAUCCAAG